UACGAAGGGGGCUAGCGUUGCUCGGAAUCACUGGGUGUAAAGCGCACGUAGGCGGAUUGUUAAGUCAGGGGUGAAAUCCUGGAGCUCAACUCCAGAACUGCCUUUGAUACUGACGGUCUUGAGUUCGGGAGAGGUGAGUGGAACUGCGAGUGUAGAGGUGAAAUUCGUAGAUAUUCGCAAGAACACCAGUGGCGAAGGCGGCUUACUGGUCCGGUUCUGACGCUGAGGCGCGAAAGCGUGGGGAGCAAACAGGG
rnacentral:rRNA from 1 species